rnacentral:rRNA from 1 species
AUACGUCCGUGAGGGAGAAAGCGGGGGACCGUAAGGCCUCGCGCGAUUGGAGCGGCCGAUGUCGGAUUAGCUAGUUGGUAGGGUAAAGGCCUACCAAGGCGACGAUCCGUAGCGGGGUCUGAGAGGAUGAUCCGCCACACUGGGACUGAGACACGGCCCAGACUCCUACGGGAGGCAGCAGUGGGGGAAUUUUGGACAAUGGGGCGAAAGCCUGAUCCAGCCAUGCCGCGUGAGUGAAGAAGGCCUUCGGGUUGUAAAGCUCUUUCAGGUGGAAAGAAAACGCAUAGGUUAAUACCUUGUGCGGAUGACGGUACCAUCAGAAGAAGCACCGGCUAACUACGUGCCAGCAGCCGCGGUAAUACGUAGGGUGCGAGCGUUAAUCGGAAUUACUGGGCGUAAAGCGUGCGCAGGCGGUUAUGUAAGACAGAUGUGAAAUCCCCGGGCUCAACCUGGGAACUGCGUUUUGUGACUGCAUAACUAGAGUACGGCAGAGGGAGU